rnacentral:rRNA from 2 species
UCUGGUGUCAGCCGCCGCGGUAAAACCAGCACCUCGAGUGGUCAGGAGGUUUAUUGGGCCUAAAGCAUCCGUAGCCGGUUGUUUAAGUUUUCGGUUAAAUUUAUGCGCUUAACGUAUAGGCUGCCGAAAAUACUGGACAGCUAGGGAGUGGGAGAGGUACACGGUACUCAAUAGGAAGGGGUAAAAUCCUUUGAUCUGUUGAUGACACCUGUGGCGAAGGCGGUGUACCAGAACACGUUCGACGGUGAGGGAUGAAAGCUGGGGGAGCAAACCGGAUUAGAUACCCGGGUAGUCCCAGCUGUAAACGAUGCAAACUCGGUGAUGCAUUGGCUUGUGGCCAAUGCAGUGCCGCAGGGAAGCCGUUAAGUUUGCCGCCUGGGAAGUACGUACGCAAGUAUGAAACUUAAAGGAAUUGGCGGGGGAGCACCACAAGGGGUGAAGCCUGCGGUUCAAUUGGAGUCAACGCCAGAAAUCUUACCCGGAGCGACAGCAGAAUGAAGGUCAAGCUGAAGACUUUACCAGACAAGCU